rnacentral:tRNA from 1 species
CCAGGGGUGGCAGAGCGGUUGAUGCGGCGGUCUGUAAAACCGUUUCAGGCAGGUUCGACUCCUGCCCCCUGGACCA